AACGUACGCUGGCGGCACGCCUAACACAUGCAAGUCGAACGAAGUAGCAAUACUUAGUGGCAGACGGGUGAGUAACAUGUAGGUAUCUGCCCUUUGGCCUGGAAUAACACGAGGAAACUUGUGCUAAUACCGGAUAAGUCUUUACGGAGAAAGCUUUAUGCACCAUUGGAUGAGCCUGCACUUGAUUAGUUUGUUGGUGGGGUAAUGGCCUACCAAGACUGUGAUCAAUAGCUGAUUUGAGAGGAUGAUCAGCCACAUUGGGACUGAGACACGGCCCAAACUCCUACGGGAGGCAGCAGUGGGGAAUCUUGCACAAUGGAGGAAACUCUGAUGCAGCGAUGCCGCGUGAGUGAAGAAGGCCCUUGGGUUGUAAAGCUCUUUCGUCGGGGAAGAAAAUGACUGUACCCGAAUAAGAAGGUCCGGCUAACUUCGUGCCAGCAGCCGCGGUAAUACGAAGGGACCUAGCGUAGUUCGGAAUUACUGGGCUUAAAGAGUUCGUAGGUGGUUGAAAAAGUUAGUGGUGAAAUCCCAGAGCUUAACUCUGGAACUGCCAUUAAAACUUUUCAGCUAGAGUAUGAUAGAGGAAAGCAGAAUUUCUAGUGUAGAGGUGAAAUUCGUAGAUAUUAGAAAGAAUACCAAUUGCGAAGGCAGCUUUCUGGAUCAUUACUGACACUGAGGAACGAAAGCAUGGGUAGCGAAGAGGAUUAGAUACCCUCGUAGUCCAUGCCGUAAACGAUGUGUGUUAGACGUUGGAAAUUUAUUUUCAGUGUCGCAGCGAAAGCGAUAAACACACCGCCUGGGGAGUACGACCGCAAGGUUAAAACUCAAAUGAAUUGACGGGGACCCGCACAAGUAGUGGAGCAUGUGGUUUAAUUCGAAGAUACGCGCAGAACCUUACCAACACUUGACAUGUUCGUCGCGACUCUAAGAGAUUAGAGUUUUCGGUUCGGCCGGACGAAACACAGGUGCUGCAUGGCUGUCGUCAGCUCGUGUCGUGAGAUGUUGGGUUAAGUCCCGCAACGAGCGCAACCCUCACUUUUAGUUGCCAUCAUUAAGUUGGGCACUCUGAAAGAACUGCCAGUGAUAAGCUGGAGGAAGGUGGGGAUGACGUCAAGUCCUCAUGGCCCUUACGUGUUGGGCUACACACGUGCUACAAUGGUAUCUACAACAGGAAGCAAAACUGCGAAGUUAAGCAAAUCCCUAAAAGAUACCUCAGUUCGGAUUGCACUCUGCAACUCGAGUGCAUGAAGCUGGAAUUACUAGUAAUCGUGGAUCAGCGUGCCACGGUGAAUGCGUUUCCCGGGUCU
rnacentral:rRNA from 1 species